AUUUAUAUAGUUUAAAAAAACAUUAUAUUUUCAAUAUAAAAAUAAAAAUUUAUUUUUUAUAAAUA
rnacentral:tRNA from 1 species